rnacentral:lncRNA from 1 species
CUGCACUCCAGCCUGGGGGACAGAGUGAGACCCCGUCUCAAACAAACAAAACAAAACAAAAUGAGGAUGAUGGGGCUUCCAAUGGCAACUCGAGACAUUAGUUUACUCCAGAGUCAUGGAGACAGUGAAUGGAGUGUGUGUGUGUGUGUGUGUGCGUGUGUGUGUGUGUGUGUGUUUGUGUGCGUGUGUGUGAGUGAGAGAGACAGAGAGGAAGAAGGGAGGGAGGGACGGUUACAGGAGUGUGGGAAAGUCAACAGGAAAAGGAGGGAAGGUUCGCUGUGAACUGACAGUAACUGUGACCUCACAGGCAUGUGCGGAGUCCCCGCCCCACCAGGCACUGUGCCAAGGCCAGUACCUUCAUGUCAUGAGACCCUCUCAGCAACUCUAUAACCUUGUCCCCACCAGAAUAUUCCUUUCACAGCUGAGAAAACAACAGCACAAAGAGGAUGAAUUAAAAAUUGUCU